rnacentral:lncRNA from 1 species
CGGGCCUCUCAACACACCGUCCCUUACCUUCUGGUCUCCCCUGUCUGAGACCCCAUCCCAGUCACUCCCUCUGUCUCAGGUCAUUUUUCUGGCCUGCUCUUCACUCUCCUUGUCAGAGAAAUGCAGACACUUCCUGCGGGCUUUGGGAAGCUUCCACAGGAACUGAGCAAGUCCACCAGGGAUGAACGGGAGGGGCAAGGGCUCUAUCGGGGAGGGGUGGGAAAGGAAUAGCUCUUGGGCCUGGGGAAGGGAAACAGCUGAUAGGCCUGGGUCCCCAAAAUCUAGCAGGCUUAGCCAGUAAGGCAAGAGGAGCCCGGGCAGGGAAGGUAAAGAGUACAGGACCCUCUGUCCUGUGGCUCAAACCCACACAAAACAGGCCUCAGGCAGUGGGUGCAGGGGUGUGAGUCACCUGCUGUUUGCAUCUCAUUUGCAUGUUCCUGGCUCCCAGUUCAGUCUGGUUCCAAGAGGCCUGGGGGUGGGGAGGGGAUUGUGCACCAGAGCCUUGACUCUUACAUACCUCCUGACAGCCCAAGGCGUGUUCCUGUCGUCUCCUACCUUAGAGCCAGCCUCAACCCCAAAAGCCAGCUGGACACACCGUCCUCCAGACAUGCCCUGUACUGUCUUGUCUCCAACCUUUGUCAUGGUCCCCCCAGUCUUCCCCACUCCUCUCGAUUUUGCUCAUUAUUAGCCUUUUUUUUUUUUUUUUUUUUUUUUUGAGACGAAGUUCCACUCUUGUCACCCAAGCUGGAGUGCAUGGUGCGAUCUUGGCUCACUGCAACCUCCACCUCCCAGUUUCAAGCAAUUAUCUGUCUCAGCCUCCCGAAUAGCUGGGAUUACAGGCACCCACUACCACGCCCCGCUAAUUUUUUUUGUAUUUUUAGUAGAAACAGGGUUUCACCAUCUUGGCCAGGCUAGUCUUGAACUCCUGACAUUGUGAUCCACUUGCCUCGGCCUCCCAAAGUGCUGGGAUUACAGGCGUGAGCCACCACGCCCAGCCUAGCCAUCUUUUAAAGCCGGAUACCAAGUCCUCCACUUCCAUGAAGCUUUCCCUGGUAAACAAACUCCAAGUAAUCAUAAUCCUACAGCUCUCAAUGCUGAAAGGCACCCGAAGAAACCAGGUCUGUCUUACCCAUCUUCAGGAGAUAAGGCUUCACCAUCCUCAUUUUAUAGAUGAGGCAACCAAGGCCCAGGAUCAGUUAAUGUAGGUUUCCCAGAGCAGAAUAGCCAGCAAGUAGGGAGGACAUGAGAGCCCAGGGCACACCCCUCAACACCCCCAGCUCCCACCGCCCUUUGCCAUUCAUUUAGCAGGGAGCAAUGCCCUAUUCUGGACCACUCUCGCAUGGCUAGUGAGCUGACCAUUGGGCAUCGUUGCUCCCCUUCUGGAUUGGGAUUUCAGUCUCCCAUGAGCUCCCUAGGCUUCAGCCAUACAGAACCACUGCCAGUUCCCUAAAUUCUCCUUGCCCUUUCUUAGCAACAUGUCUUUGCCUGUGGUGAUCCCUCUGACAGGACUGCCUUUAUCUCUAUGAACUCCUGAACCUGGCAAACUCCAGCUCAUCCCUCAAAACCCAUCUCAACUAUUACCUCCUCUGUGAAAUCUUUUCUGAUGUUCUUCUUCAGAUCCCAGCAAUGUAUUCAAACAUCUGAGGCAGCACUUGUCACACUGCUCCUGGUAGCCCAGCCUCCCUCUCUAGCCACAAGACCUUCAAGGGCAGGGACCACCAUGUGCUGUGCAGCUCUCUCCCCAGGAUACACACAAAUACAGGCACACAUUUAAUUGAACCAGAUUUUAUUACCACCUCCCUUCCCAUCCCAGGCCCACAGAACAGAAGCAUCAGCCUAGUGGGGAGGUGAGAAAGAAAGACUGAGAAGAAAAUGCCUGAGGUGAUGAUCGGGGAUACAGCACGUGCAUUACUUAGUACUCUUGAUCAUCUCUUUCACCUAACUUAAUGCUUAGUAAAGGAAGGAGGGAGGGAGGGAGGGAAGGAAGGAAGGAAGGAAGGAAGGAAGGAAGGAAGGAAGGAAGGAGGGAAGGAAGGAAGGAAGGAAGGGAGUAAAGAAACAGAGGAAAUAGGCCGGGAAAUAGAACUGAAGGGGAAGGGAAAAAAGAAGGAAGGGAGAAUCAUAAAAAAGGAAGAAAAGAGGUGGAUGCGGGGUAGAAAGAAGAGCCAGAGAAAGGUCUUGUGGGAAGAGGGAGGGGAGGAAACAGGAGGAGGCCAGGGGAGGAGGAGGCCAAACUUUUGACUCUGGAGCACAUCCAGCAGAGAUCCUGGCCUUGCGGCUUAGUAUCAUUCCCACCACCAUGUUCCGAUCCGGGAAAUGGACACAUCUCCUCUUCUCCAGGAGCACAGGAGUCUGGGCAGGGAGCACCUGCUGUGCUGUGCCACGUCCCCCCGCCCCUGCACUAGGCCCUUUCACAUCCGUGGUCUCCCGAAGCUCUCCACAGCCCUGGGAAGUAGGAGUUCUUAUUCCACCCUCCCCUUCUGAUGCAGGGACUGAGACAGAGUGGUCCGCCAUGGGGCUCCAUCAGGUAGGGUCUGACUCCAAAGGCCUGCUCUUCCCUCGACCCCAGGGUCCCCUUAGCAUUGAAGACAGACAGGAAAAAGAGGCAGAUGACAUUUCAUGUCCCACUUGGAAAGUCAAGGUGUAGAAAAUGGAGGGGACCAGACUCCUUCAUAUCCUGCGCAGCGUCAUCUCCUGCCGCAAGAAUCACCCCACGCGCAUGACUCAGUCUUUGCCCAGUAGGUUGAUGAUAACCUAAGAAUCUGAAGACCUCACAGGGACUCUGAAAGCCCAUUGAAGUAGAUGCGGAAAACUCUUCCAUCAUGUCAUCCUUUCCUCUGCCUUGGGUCACCAGCCAAGGGAGGGAGUGGCUCAGGUGUUUUCCUUUGAAAGCCCCCAUGCAGAUCUUCUCCCCAUCCCAGAAGCCCAAGGAGUCAGCAAUAUCUGUGGUUCCCUGAGGUUCAGAGAGACACAGUAGCAAAUGACUGUACCCAGGCCCCACUACCCACCUCCAGGGAUGUAUAGCUGUGGGGUGUGGAGCGCAGAGGACUUUUCCCAGAGCCUCACCCCAGAUGAACAGCCAACUUCCCUUUGUUCAGCCUCCCCCAGAUACCCAAACCCAGCAGCCCAUGGCCUUCUCUGUCAGGAAGUCCUUCCUGAUGUCUAACUUACAUCUUUCCUGCUGCUGUCUAUCCAGCCCUUAGCAGUGACAGGAGACCAGUCUGAGCUCUAAAGGUCAGGGAAUGGGGACGAAAACAAGUACUUCCCUUCAAGCCUUGGGUAGGGGAGUAGUAAUGCAAAGAAACAAGAGUGGCUCACUCAGCCUUAUUUCUCCCUGCCUGUAGCAGUAGAAAUGGAGGGUAGACAACUGGAAGGACUUCCUAGCCAAGAGAAGGGAGGUACUUCUGGAAUAGGAUUAUAAAGCACAAAGGCUGCGCGCUUCCUGGUGGCCUCCCAGCCUGGCAGAGACCCUUCAGUGGUAGCUUCAGAAGGAUAACCUGCACUUCCAGAAAAGCUCAGGGUGCCGGGAUUGCUGAGAACCCUUGCAGCUCCAGCAAAAGUAAAAACCUGGUCCUGGAGCCCCCUUGUGGCCACGCAGAGGCAGGACAGGCAGUUCCGCCUCCCACCACCACACCCGUGGUUAGAGCUGGGGCCCAGGGUUGCUGAUGCAGAGGACAGGGAAACCAGGGCCCCACCUUCUGUGAGAGGCCAAAUCGGCAGCCCUAGCCCUGAGGGCACCUGGUCAGGAAGGAGCAGGGCCCAGAAGGAGCCCUGGAAGAGGAGACAGGCUAACCCCAUUCAGUUCCUAAUCUGCCACUCUCCAGCUAGUGACCCUGGGCACACCUCCCCGCAGAGCCUCAGUGACCUCAAUCAUUAAAAGGAAGAAAAGGCCGGCACGGUAGCUCACACCUGUAAUCUCAGCACUUUGGGAGGCCGAGGCGGGCGGAUCACGAGGUCAGGAGAUCGAGACCAUCCUGGCUAACACAGUGAAACUCCGUCUCUACUAAAAAUACAAAAAUUAGCUGGGCUUGGUGGCACGUGCCUGUCCCAGCUACUCAGAAGCUGAGGCAGGAGAAUUGCUUGAACCAGGGAGGCAGAGGGAGGUUGCAGUGAGCCAAGAUCGCGCCACUGCACUCCAGCCUGGGAAACAGAGAGAGACUCCGUCUCAAAAAAAGGAAGUAAAACUCCCCCUGGCCCACCAUUUUACCUUAAAGAAGUGUGGAAAGAACCAAACGUAAUGAUAAUGUUCUGUACGCGAACUUGAAUCGUUUUUAAAACUCCUCUUCAGGCCAGGCGCCACGGCUCACACCUGUGAUCCCAGCACUUUAGAAGGCCAAGACGGGCAGAUCACUUGAAGUCAGGAGUUUGAGACCAGCCUGGCCAACAUGGUGAAACCUCGUCUCUACUAAAAAUACAAAAAUUAGCCAUGUAUACUGGUGCACACCUGUAAUCCCAGCUACUUGGGAGGUUGAGGCAGGAGAAUUGACUGAACCCAGGAGGAAGAGGUUGCAGUGAGCCAAGACCACGCCACUACACUCCAGCCUGGGCAAUAGAGCGAGACUCUGUCUCAAAAAAAAAAUAAAAGCAAAAAACCCUUCUUCAAAUAUAUGGGAAGAGUUGGGCACAGUGGCUCAUACCUAUAAUCUCAGCAUUUUGGGAGACUGAAGCUGGAAGAUCACUUGAGGCCAGGAGUUCAAUAAAGGCUAGGCACAGUGGCUAACUCCUGUAAUCCCAACACUUUGAGUGGCCAGGGUGGGAGGAUUGCUUGAGCCCAAGAGUUCAAGACCAGCUUGGGCAACAACGUGAGACCUCAUCUCUACAAAAAAAAAAAAAAAAAAAAAAAAA